rnacentral:rRNA from 1 species
GACGAACGCUGGCGGCGUGCUUAACACAUGCAAGUCGAACGGAAAGGCCCUGCUUUUGUGGGGUGCUCGAGUGGCGAACGGGUGAGUAACACGUGAGUAACCUGCCCUUGACUUUGGGAUAACUUCAGGAAACUGGGGCUAAUACCGGAUAGGAGCUCCUGCUGCAUGGUGGGGGUUGGAAAGUUUCGGCGGUUGGGGAUGGACUCGCGGCUUAUCAGCUUGUUGGUGGGGUAGUGGCUUACCAAGGCUUUGACGGGUAGCCGGCCUGAGAGGGUGACCGGCCCAAUGGGGGCUGGGGUCCGGCCCAGACUCCUCCGGGGGGCAGCGGUGGGGAAUUUUGCCAAAUGGGCGGAAGCCUGAUGCAGAAACCCCGCGGGGGGGAUGGCGGCCUUGGGGUUGUAAACCGCUUUCGCCUUUGACGAAGCGUGGGUGACGGUAAUGGGAAAAGAAGCCCCGGCUACCUACGU